rnacentral:misc_RNA from 1 species
GGUUUGAUGGGUGCAAACACACAAUUAAGUUCAAGAUCAACAGAACAAUUAUACUGAAUACUAAAAUGCUAUAUAUUUUAUUCCAUGGAAAAAUUUUCCUGCUAACAUUAUCUAAGAAGGAAUAAUACACAAAGGAGGGGAGAAAACUAUAAAAUUUGAGCCUAUACAUGUCCUCCUUUGGUUAUAAGCCAAGACCAGCUAAUAGGCUUGGCUAUGAACACACCUCUAAGACUGCUUGGUUUGAUUCUGCCAGUAUUUGUUCUCCCAUAACUGCACCAGCUUUAUAGCAUUUGCUUUUCUCCUUAUAAUGGCAAGAAGAGAUGAAGGGUCAUAGGGAGGAGGCAUGGUGCAGGGACAAGUAUCUGCAGGAACCUUCACCAAAGAAUCCAUCAUAAACUUCUUCUCCAAUCCAUCCGCAGGGCAAGCCAUUGUUUCUGAACACAGUUCAGUAGCAUUUCUAGGUAUAGUGGGCUUAAAUGUCAAAAGCUUUGCAUACUCAUUUAAGAGAUGAAACAUGUAGUCAUACACAUAGUCUAUCUUCAACUCUUCUUGAAUGAAUUCACUUGCUGCAUUUCCAAUUUCCUGGGCCUGACAAACCCACGGAGAACAACUUCUGUCUGUGGCUGUUACCCCAGUCUACUGCAAACUUAAUAGACUUGCAUUUAUCGGCCUCCUUUACAGGCCAAUAGUGGUGAAUUGGCAUCAAACCUCUUGAAAAGAAAUCAUAAUAAUGGGGCUUCACAAUAAGGGUGACUGAAUCACAGGCAAGGAUAUACUUUUCACUGACUGACCAUGCAGACCCCUCAAUAUAGAUCUUAUACCUGUGAAUGCAUUGAUUUGCCAAGUCUGAUUGCUUGUAUCCUUGCUGGGAUUCUCGGACCCAAUCCUGUCGAUAUAAACGAGCAUUCCAGUCCUGUUGUUCGGAGACAUUACAUUUGAUAAGGUCUAGCCUGGUCUCAGCAACAUCUGGAUUCCCUUUCCAAUAAGCAUAAGGUUCCCUUUCCAGCCAUCUAGUCCUUUCGUUGCCUUCUUUUAGGUCCCUCAGCAAAUGCUCCCAUGGCUUUAUAUUCGUCUCAGCCCAUCCCCAGAAGGACCAAUCAGGAAACACUACAUCCAUUGUCCACCUGUCACCACAGUACCGAAACAGUGGUGGUGGUCCUGUGGAGUUUGGUCCACUGUAAUCGCUUGAUCGGACGACCGGCUUAUCAUCACAGUCAAACAUCAGCUCCAUGUCCGGUAACCUUCCAGGAUACCUCCUGAGAAGCUGCAGAAUGCCCCAUACAGUGAACAUAUCUCUCGAUUGUAUUGAUUUUCUAUAUUUCUCGAUAUAUGCCUUGCCUUGGACUAUUAUCAGACGAAAAUUUGCUGUUUUUUUGGCUCUCUCCACCAUAUCCCUGGUUAUUCCUGUAGCAAUCCAUGGCCUCAGAUCUUCAUGUAUCCAUCGAAAAUAGUCCGGACAUACUGUUCUUGAUGAUGAGUCUUGAUCUUCGCUUUGAAAUAUAGUUCUUGGGUAGUUUGUUGGACAGGUUUGAGUUUCGUUCUUGAUAGUGCAGUUAAGUGGGAAUUCAAGUACUUUUCUAUGGAGGGUUUUGUGCUCUAGAGAAAUUAUUACUGUCUUGUUUGUUGAUCUUUCCACUGAAAACUUAGAAGUAUCAAUCCAUGAGGAAGAUAAGAAGGCAGCAAUGAAGAGGACUAGUAAAAGAAAGAGCAGAGUUCUAACAGUUGCAGGUCCCUUCUUUAAUUGAGGCCUCCAAAUUGGCAUCUUGAAGAAAUAUGCUUGAAUCUAGCAAUUCCAGAUCUCUGCCUUGGAGUAGUGGACAGAGUACAGUAUCAUGCUUUGAAGAAAGUACUUCUAGAGGAGCUUGAUAGUAAAGUCAUUAUAUGACCUCCUUGUGUUCUUGCCUAUGGAAUUUUUGAAAAGUGAUAUGCCAAGAUUCAAGAAUCUUCCCUUCCCAUUAAUCGUCAAAAAUAACACAUGAAGUCAAGAAAGAUUUGAGCAAUAAGAAGAUCGCAGUUGCAGAGACAAGAAUCCAGUAUCUCUCUGAAAAGUUGAUUUUCUUGUUUUACAAGCAAUUAGUGGAGUUAGUGGG